UCCUGCCUUACUGUUGCCACAAGUCUGCCCACGUUAGGUGUCUCGUGCGACUGUGCUCAGACAUCUUCACCUCUGUGACAGCUGUCUUCACCUGGCCCUGUGUGCUCGAGGCUUGUCCAUACGGAGCAUGGGUCAGAUUCCCCGGCUCUCCCUGAGGCUGAGUGAUAGCCCACUGUGUGGAACCGCAGGUGUUUCUCCCACGGAAGGAGUGUUCAGCUGAGGGCUUGUCUAAUUCCACUAACAGGGGUGCUAGUCCUGCCUUCCUCUACACAGCUUUUGAGCCCCACGCCAUUGGACUGAGAAUUGACAAAUUGUGACCCGAUCUAUGAGACUUCAUGGCUACCUCUGUGGAAUUCCAUCUUGAUGUCUGCAGUCUAUGCUCUGGCCUGAUAAAGGGAUUUGCAUUCCGAUUCUGCUCCUUAGGCAGGGCAAAGCAUGCUAAGGAUGGGCAAGGAAUGGCAUAGUGGAGAGUAGGGGGUACUGUUGUGAACUUACCCCAUCCAUGAGGCCACUUUUAAGGGUCCCUGUAGCAUGUAUUCUUUCCCACCAGCUGCCUGGUCCUGCCGCUGUUUCUGCCCCCAAAUCACA